rnacentral:rRNA from 2 species
GGGUUGUGAGGUUAAGCGACUAAGCGUACACGGUGGAUGCCCUGGCAGUCAGAGGCGAUGAAGGACGUGCUAAUCUGCGAUAAGCGUCGGUAAGGUGAUAUGAACCGUUAUAACCGGCGAUUUCCGAAUGGGGAAACCCAGUGUGUUUCGACACACUAUCAUUACGUGAAUACAUAGCGUAAUGAAGCGAACCGGGGGAACUGAAACAUCUAAGUACCCCGAGGAAAAGAAAUCAACCGAGAUUCCCCCAGUAGCGGCGAGCGAACGGGGAGCAGCCCAGAGUCUGAAUCAGCAUGUGUGUUAGUGGAAGCGUCUGGAAAGUCGCACGAUACAGGGUGAAAGUCCCGUACACAAAAGUGCAUGUGUUGUGAACUCGAAGAGUAGGGCGGGACACGUGGUAUCCUGUCUGAAUAUGGGGGGACCAUCCUCCAAGGCUAAAUACUCCUGACUGACCGAUAGUGAACCAGUACCGUGAGGGAAAGGCGAAAAGAACCCCGGCGAGGGGAGUGAAAAAGAACCUGAAACCGUGUACGUACAAGCAGUGGGAGCACCCUUCGGGGUGUGACUGCGUACCUUUUGUAUAAUGGGUCAGCGACUUAUAUUCUGUAGCAAGGUUAACCGAAUAGGGGAGCCGAAGGGAAACCGAGUCUUAAC